CCAAGGCAACUUUUAAUUGGGGCUGGCUUACAGGUUCAGAGGUUCAGUAUCAAGGCAGGGGCAUGGCAGCAUCCAGGCAGGCAUGGUGCAGGCAGAGCUGAGAGUUCUACAUCUUCAUCUGAAGGCUGCUAGUGGAAGACUGGCUUCCAGGCAGCUAGGAGUAGGGUCUUAAAGCCCACACCCACAGUUCCAUACCUAACUCCAACAAGGCCACACCUCCAAAUACCUCCAAUCCCUGGGCCAGGCGUAUACAAACCAUCAUAAUCUCCUAGGAAAUUAACUAAAUUUGCUAAAUAAAAACCAGCUUAUCCUAGAAAAUUCCCUACCAAAUUCUGUUGAUGUUCUGUUUGUCAAAUGGCAGGGUCUUAUACUACAGUCUAAGCCAGCCUUAAACUUACUCUAUAGCCCAGGCUAGCUUUGAAAUCCUGGAGGUCCUUUUCCUUAAGACUCCUUAAGUGCUUAUAAGCCACCAUGUCCAGAAAUAAAUGCAUCUACAUCAUCAUAACUUACUGAACCAAUUCUCAUUUAUGCACUAACAAUUGUGUCCAGUUGGCCUCUAUUAUAAAACAAGAUUGAAACUUUUUGUUUUGUUUUUCCAAACAAGGUUUAUCUGUGUAGCCUUGGCUAUCCUGGAAUUCGCUCUAUAGACCAGGAAAGCUUUGAACUCAGAGAUCCACAGCUUCUAUCUGGGAUUAAAGAUGUGUACCACCAACACCCAGCAAGAUGAACAUUUUUACAUUCAUAUUUUUCUACACUUGUCUUUUUUAUUUUCCUAAGCUAAAACCUAAAAGAUUGUAUCAAUGCAGCAAAAGGUACAACCUAACACUUUAAUUGCAGACUUCCAUACUGUACUCUGAAAAGAUAACACAAUUUAUUACACUAUCAAGUAAACAGUGGGGCCUGCUUCUCCAUUGUUUCAAGUGUUAAUUACACAUUUCUAUAUGUUAUAUGUAUAUGAGCUUGUGUGCUGUGGCAUGAAUAUGUAGGUCAGAGGACAAUUUUUGAAAGUCAGUCCUCUUCUUCCAACAUGAGCACUCCAGGGAUUAGACUCAGUCACCAGGACUGAUGGCAGUCACUUCUACCUGUUCAUAUUCUUUAACUAAUACUAGAAAUUGGGUUUAGAAAGUAUAAUAGAAGCCUAGUGGGUUGCCCACACCUGUCCUGCUGAACAACACAGGACAGCUUGUCUGUUUCUGAGACAGAUCUUGUCUCAAAAACAAGAUGGCUGGAGAGAUGGUUCAGCUACUAAGGCUGAGGCUUCCAAGCUAAAGGAGAAAGUAUGAAGACAGGGGCAUCCCUAUUAUCACAGCACUCAGGAGGUAGAUGAUAGAAGAUUAAGAGUUCAAAGUCAGCCCUGGCUGCACAGCCAGUUCUCUUCCAGCCUGAGCUCCAUGAGGACUCUCAGAGGAGAAAGCACAACAGAAUUAAUAAUGAUACUUUGUUUCUACUUUUCCUAUUAUUUCUUUAACUGUAAAAGUGUUUUUCAUGUGUUAAACACUUCUUUCUUUUUGUGAACUACCAAUUCAAAUGCCAAUCACUGGUCACUGGAUUUUCCCAUUUUAUUUACAUAUUAAAGGUAUCAAUAUG
rnacentral:lncRNA from 1 species